GACGAACGCUGGCGGCGUGCCUAAUACAUGCAAGUCGAGCGCAGGAAAUCGACGGAACCCUUCGGGGGGAAGUCGACGGAAUGAGCGGCGGACGGGUGAGUAACACGUAAAGAACCUGCCCUCAGGUCUGGGAUAACCACGAGAAAUCGGGGCUAAUACCGGAUGGGUCAUCGGACCGCAUGGUCCGAGGAUGAAAGGCGCUUCGGCGUCGCCUGGGGAUGGCUUUGCGGUGCAUUAGCUAGGUGGUGGGGUAAUGGCCACCACGGCGACGAUGCAGAGCCGACCGGAGAGGGUGAUCGGCAACCAGGGGACAGAGACACGGCCCAGCCGCCUACGGGGGGCAGCAGUAGGGAAUCUUCCACAAUGGACGAAAGUCUGAUGGAGCAACGACGCGUGAACGAUGAAGGCCUUCGGGUCGUAAAGUUCUGUUGUAAGGGAAGAACAAGUGCCGCAGGCAAUGGCGGCACCUUGACGGUACCUUGCGAGAAAGCCACGGCUAACUACGUGCCAGCCGCCGCGGUAAAAC
rnacentral:rRNA from 1 species